rnacentral:rRNA from 1 species
UACAGAGGGUGCGAGCGUUAAUCGGAAUUACUGGGCGUAAAGGGCGCGUAGGCGGUUAUUUAAGUUGGAUGUGAAAUCCCUGGGCUUAACCUAGGAACUGCAUCCAAAACUGGAUAGCUAGAGUGCGGUAGAGGGUAGUGGAAUUUCCGGUGUAGCGGUGAAAUGCGUAGAUAUCGGAAGGAACACCAGUGGCGAAGGCGGCUACCUGGACUGACACUGACGCUGAGGCGCGAGAGCGUGGGGAGCAAACAGG